UUAUUUUCAAAUGAGUAUUUUAUAUACAAAUAAAACCAUUAACGUAUAAAGUAUAUCAACAUUUUUACACAUUUGUCCAUUCUUAAGACAUUGUUGUAUUUUGAAUAGUUCUAGUAUACUGGUUAGUAAAAGCUUUCCCUUAUCUCUAGGUGUUUUUUUGUAAUAGAAGCCUUCCUGUAUUUCUAGGUAUUCCAAAACCGGUAUGACGGAUCGGAGGAGUUCUAUUUAGAUCUCAAGGCUUACACUGAAGGGUUUGGAAAUACAUCAGCUGAAUUCUGGCUUGGGUUAAGAUACAUAAAAGAGCUCGCGGAUCAGGGGAAUACUACUCUUCGCAUGGAGGUAGGUGCCGCCGACGGAAGCGAGGCUUACGAAGAGUGGCCGGAAUUCCAGUUAGGAGAGGCGCCGGGUUACAAAUUGCACGUGGGAGGGAAUGGCACGGGAACCGCUGGGGAUGAAAGUCUCUACUUCUCAAAUGCCCAAAAUGGAAUGGAUUUCACAGCAAAGGGCAGUAGCUGCGGUAACAACCACAGAGGUGGUUGGUGGUACAAGUUUUGUACGAACAUCAACCUAAACGGGCACUACGCUCCGCCAGGGACAAAGUCCGGGUACAACUCUGGUUCAGGAGGAAUGAUUUAUUACAGUUUUAAGCAAUACGAAUCACUCAAAACAUCAAGAAUGAUGUUGCGAAGAGUUGGAUGAAUCAAUCAUUAAUUGUCAAAAUGGUGGGUGUGGUUGUUUGACACGUUCAUUAAAAUCACCUAGGUUUUUGUAUACAUAUCUCUUAACCAUUUAUUCGAAAGGCUAACGGUUCAACUACUUUCAUAACUUAAACAAUGGGUAAAAUAUUAUUUAUGCAGAUGAAGGUUUUGAUUUGCUCAACUUAACUGAAAACACGUUCAUUAUUUUAUGUCAAGUUUGCACACAAUUACAAAUACGAGAACGAACGAAAGACAUAAAACAUGAUGAAGGUAUGCAAGGUAAUGCAUUAACAUAUAUGUAAAAAAAGAUAAGAUAAAGUCAUUAUAAUACAAGUUGCAUUCGAAAGAUAACACAUAGCUUAGUGUGUAUAUUUACUUAAGACAUAAAACAUUGAUCUCGUUUAUUCUGAACUAAAGACAACGUUAAACUAUAAAUCCUACUGGCCAUUUUCACAUCCACAUAAAGCAGACGAGCAAAUAAGUAGAGAUGGGUACUAUUUAGGUUAUUUUUGGUAAAACUUAUUGCAAAGUAUCGCAAUUUAUAUUCAACUAUAAGUUUAAUAACAAUGAGACACAUAUGACUUAAACAUGUGCAUUUUUAUUACAUAUAUGUUUCUUAACUUAAUUCGGUUGCUGUACACCGUGCCCAUUAGAAUCGGUUUUGGGAAUUUGAGAAAAAAAAAUGGCAGCAGAAAUUCGCAAUAUUGAUUUUGUCAAACCGUUUUAAAAAGUACGCUGGUGAUACAAAGAACUUGUAGUAUAUUUAUUUAUUAAUUAUGUGGUAUUUUGAAAUGUUUUAUUAGUAGAUGACACUAAUUAAACCCACAAUGGUUUAAGUUUAGGUGGGCGAGUUAUGGCGCUCUUGCAUUGUGCCAAAUCAUAUUUUGUAUACCCGGACACAUCUGAACUAGAAGUGCACAUGCAGUGACAGAAUAUACUUCAUUGAAAAAAAUGAUUUUUUUUUUCAAUUUGUGGCACGAGUUAUGCAGAAUGUUUAUAGAGGAUAAUUGUUGUUGUUUUUUCAGAGCAAGAUCGUAAAAACAUUCACCGAGUGAGCACCAAAAAUAUAUAUUAUACAAGUGGCGUUCACGAGGAGAAAUAGAUUUGCGAUCAGAAACAAAUUUAUUAUUUUAUUUUUGUUAUAUGCCUAAAAUGGAAAUAAAACGUUAAUUGUAGUCGUAACAGAAAAACGAGCAAAAUGUAUGCGAACGUAACGUCAUUUUGGAUAUGACAUCCAUUUGUAUAAAAUGUGUCCUAGCCAUGUGCUUGUUUACGUUUAAUUUUGAAGUGAGAGCGGGCUAAAAAUUCAAAACAGUGAAAAAUAUCUAAUUGUUAUUUUACUGUUCAGUAAUUUCAUAUAACAAUCUGAAAUAAUAUGAAAAAUGGCAUUGUACCAGUUAAAUAUUAAAUAUAAGAAUUAUAUUGUUAUUGACACACCUACACUUAUGUUCAAGUAGUACGGUGUUGAAAUAACAAACAACUCUAAAUCAAAAUUGCUGAGAAUCUGGCAUCAAUUAGGCCUAACAAGCUUUAGUUGCUUAUUUUUUUAAACCAAAUUUCCUACUCAAUUCUGAAUUUACUAAAUAAAAAAAAAAUAGUUGUUCGUGAUCAUCCAAAAAAACCUGAAAACGUAACGUUAGCCAAAAAUAGCAUUGAUUUUAGCUUUAUCUGAUUUAUUUUACACUGUCCAUGCUUUGUUCUUAUUAGAAAGAAAUACAUGAAACGUCAUUAUUAUACCGGUCCAUCUGUACUAAAAUUCACUGAACUGUUAGAUACGACAUAAGACAAGAACUCAUCAAAGUAUUUAUUGUCAAAGAAGCGUUAUGUAUAAGACAAACGAUUCUAAAUAUUGAAUUAUAAUAAUGUUUUAUUGUUUUUUUUUGUUUGUUUUUUUUUUUGUUCAUUCUCACCUAAUUUGAAUAUGAACAUAAAACUGUACUCGCAUUGACGUAUUAUCUAAUUACAUGUGUUUUCACUAUGUGUUCAAUUAUUUUAUAUAUGUGGUUAAAGAAUUUGACAUACAAAUCUUAAUGAAAUAUAUGUUCUGUUCCGCUCUGAAUCCUGUAAGUACAUAAGAUGUUUCGAGAAAUAAGAGACAUGCAUCAACAAAUGCAUUGAAUGAUAGCAAUUAUGGAUGACAUCAAAAUAUAUAUGGAUCAUGAUUUUCUUGUAUUUUAUAUUAUAGUAUUCAUAUUUCUGACGAAGAGUCUUGCUUUAGAACUACAGACUUUUGUAGCUAUACUAGUUAUAUUUGUCGUUUGUAAUAUUAUGUAGUAACAAUGUGCUAUGUACAAAUGAAUAAAUAUCACUAUGA